rnacentral:rRNA from 1 species
AACGAACGCUGGCGGCAUGCCUAACACAUGCAAGUCGAACGAAGGCUUCGGCCUUAGUGGCGCACGGGUGAGUAACGCGUGGGAAACUGCCUAUUGGUGGGGAAUAACGACGGGAAACUGUCGCUAAUACCGCAUAGCCCUUCGGGGGAAGGAUUUAUCGCCGAUAGAUGUGCCCGCGCCCGAUUAGCUAGUUGGUGAGGUAAUGGCUCACCAAGGCGACGAUCGGUAGCUGGUCUGAGAGGAUGAUCAGCCACACUGGGACUGAGACACGGCCCAGACUCCUACGGGAGGCAGCAGUGGGGAAUAUUGGACAAUGGGCGAAAGCCUGAUCCAGCAAUGCCGCGUGAGUGAUGAAGGCCUUAGGGUUGUAAAGCUCUUUCGGGUGGGACGAUGAUGACGGUACCACCAGAAGAAGCCCCGGCUAACUUCGUGCCAGCCGCCGCGGUAA